UCCAAUGGUGGAAUCAUUCUCCGGCAUAUUUCCUAAGGUCUGCAGGAGGAAGAAAUCAUAUUAAUCUGGAUUUUGAGCAUUAGCAGAUCGUGAUUUUUCUCCAAAAAAUCCAUAGGAAUCAAUGACUGUGGGGUAAUUCAGCAUCCACCCUGCUGGGAGACAGAAACUAAGAGGAAACUUGCAACCUACAGUCUACAUUUUAGAUAAUAUCUAUAAAAAAUAGAAAAUGGAAAAAUUGGAAUGGAAAGGUUAUUUUCUCACUGAUUUAUACACAGCAGUCACCCAAAAAGAAAUGCAAAGGUAGAGAUCCAAUAUCUCAAUCAGAUCUGAUUUUUGACAUUACAGAAGAAUAGAUAAGAGAUCGUAUUGGACUUCAUUUCAACUAAUACUUUGAGGAAUAUAUGAACCAUCUGCUGGUGCUUAAAAAACAGCCCUAAACUUGCUAAAUAAGGCCAUUAUAUUCAGAGUUUCUUUCAGAUGCUAAAGUAGAAGUGUUGUACUAAAAACUUUGUAAUUUCAACUCAACCUGAAAAGAGAGUAAGUUUUUGGGUCAUCUUACACAAGCUCCUUAUAUAAACCCCUUAUUACCAACCCGUGUGCUACUGUUUAUGGGUAUACAUGAGCCACCAAGUCUAGAAUGGUAGCCAUCCUAUAUUCAAACACAAGAGAUGCAGUAAGUGGAAGGUAGAGUAAAACUAACAAGAACUGAUGGAAACAACUACAGGAAGAGAAAGACCCCUUCAACAUCAAAGCCCUCUAAUGCCUUGCCCAAAUGAUUAAUGAUAUUAUCACCACAUUGGUGGUAUGCAGACUGGAGAACUGGACAAUGUGGUUGGAAAAUUGGCUGGCUCAAAAAUUUGUGACCGGUGCUGCAAUGUCCAGCUGGUGAACCGCAGAAUACUUCGGGGGACAAUACCGAGACCACUACUGUUCAAUGUCUUUAUUAGCAACCUGGAUGGUAGCACUGAGGGCAUGUUCAACAAGUUCACAGACUAUACCAACUUGAGAGAUGCAGUUGAUAAGCAAGGUGGCAGGGCUGCUAGUCAGAAGAACCUUGACAGAUCAAAUAAAGGGAAAGACAGGAACUACAUAAAAUUCAACAAAGCUCAACGAGUACAAAGUCCUGCAACGUGGACUGAGUGAUGACAAGAAACAAUUUAGGCUGGGCACCAACUGCCCAGGGAGCAGCUUUGCAGAAAAGGCCCUGGGGGCUGUGAUGGGCAAGGCAGACAUGAGACAGCAGUGUGUCCUUGCAACAAAGGUUUGUCACCUGCUGGGUCAUGUUAUCAAGAGCCGCCAGCAGAUUCAAGGAUGUGGUUAUUCCACUGGAUUUGGCACUUUUUAGCCUACCCAGGGAAUACUGGGUCCAGUUUUAGUACUCCCAGUUCAAGUGAAAUAUUGAAAAAUUAUAGAGGGCCAAGAAGAGGGACAUUAAGAUGAUCAGAGAGUUGAAAAACUUGACAUAUAAAGAAAUAUUGAAAGAAUUGGGUUUGUUUAGCCUAGGAAAGAAGACCUUCAGGGGUGGUCUCAUGGUAUUCCAAUACCUAAAAGAUAGUUACAGAGAAGGUGGAGGUACUCCCUUCACAAGGGCACACAGUGGCAGGACAAGAAGCAACUGAUACAAGAUGCUCCACAGAAAAUUAUCUGGAUAUAAGAAAAAAAUCUUCACUGUGAGGUUGCCCAAAGUAGUGCUGGAAUCUACCUUACCAGUGAUAUUCAUUACUUACUCAGACAGCCUCUUAGAUAACCUAAUCUAAGGCCCUGCUUUCAAUACAAGUUUGGUCCAGAUGAUCUCCUGAGGUCUAUGCCAGCUUAGACUUUUCUAUACUUCUGUAGGUGUAAACACAGCAAAAACAAAUAAUGUGUGAAAAAGAAAAUUAUACAUAAUGCUGUUAAUACACAUCAUGAAAAAUGUAUUCCCUUCCCACUGUCCUUAAAUUUGUAAGAAACUUUCCAUAAACUGAUGGGAAAGCCAAGCUACUUUUUAAAAACAAAAUAACAUUUUAUUUCAUUACAAUGGAAAAGCCAAGAGAUUUUAUCAUCUAGUCCCAUUUAUUUCACUAAUGAUACAUUAUGUCUGAAAAGCGUUAUGGAAAGUAAGAGUCUUCAGUGUCAUAUCUGAGUGCUAAAUUAAGGCUUCUAUCAUCUUCUUCACAUCCAUACACUGAAAUCAGCUUUGUCUGCAAGUAGUCCUAUCUUUUGUCAUAAGAGUAUAGUUUUGGAUCUUUCAGCUUGCAAAUGUCCUGCCCUGUUCAGUGGCAGUGAGAAAGAGCAAGGAUCCAACUUUCAGUUGGUUGUUCACAGAAUACAGACAUCCAUACCAGUCUUCCUAGCAGAUUAAGAAAAACUUAUUUAAUAAAU